GUUCUAAGGGCGUUGAAGCAUGAUCGUAAGGACAUGUGGAGCGCUUAGAAGUGAGAAUGCCGGUGUGAGUAGCGAAAGACGGGUGAGAAUCCCGUCCACCGAUUGACUAAGGUUUCCAGAGGAAGGCUCGUCCGCUCUGGGUUAGUCGGGUCCUAAGCUGAGGCCGACAGGCGUAGGCGAUGGAUAACAGGUUGAUAUUCCUGUACCACCUAUAAUCGUUUUAAUCGAUGGGGGGACGCAGUAGGAUAGGCGAAGCGUGCGAUUGGAUUGCACGUCUAAGCAGUAAGGCUGAGUAUUAGGCAAAUCCGGUACUCGUUAAGGCUGAGCUGUGAUGGGGAGAAGACAUUGUGUCUUCGAGUCGUUGAUUUCACACUGCCGAGAAAAGCCUCUAGAUAGAAAAUAGGUGCCCGUACCGCAAACCGACACAGGUAGUCAAGAUGAGAAUUCUAAGGUGAGCGAGCGAACUCUCGUUAAGGAACUCGGCAAAAUGACCCCGUAACUUCGGGAGAAGGGGUGCUCUUUAGGGUUAACGCCCAGAAGAGCCGCAGUGAAUAGGCCCAAGCGACUGUUUAUCAAAAACACAGGUCUCUGCUAAACCGUAAGGUGAUGUAUAGGGGCUGACGCCUGCCCGGUGCUGGAAGGUUAAGAGGAGUGGUUAGCUUCUGCGAAGCUACGAAUCGAAGCCCCAGUAAACGGCGGCCGUAACUAUAACGGUCCUAAGGUAGCGAAAUUCCUUGUCGGGUAAGUUCCGACCCGCACGAAAGGCGUAACGAUUUGGGCACUGUCUCAACGAGAGACUCGGUGAAAUCAUAGUACCUGUGAAGAUGCAGGUUACCCGCGACAGGACGGAAAGACCCCGUGGAGCUUUACUGUAGCCUGAUAUUGAAAUUCGGCACAGCUUGUACAGGAUAGGUAGGAGCCUUUGAAACGUGAGCGCUAGCUUACGUGGAGGCGCUGGUGGG
rnacentral:rRNA from 1 species